AAAUGCCCCCAGAAAUCCUAAA
rnacentral:miRNA from 1 species